GCCAGUAUGGUGGCUAUGACCCUCGGCUUGUAACCGAAUGGGUUUUCGGGUUCAAAUCCCGAGUGAGGCA